UACAGAGGUCUCAAGCGUUGUUCGGACUCAUUGGGCGUAAAGGGUGUGUAGGUGGCGCUGUAAGUCGGGUGUGAAAUCUCGGGGCUUAACUCCGAAACUGCAUUCGAUACUGCGGUGCUUGAGGACUGGAGAGGAGACUGGAAUUCAUGGUGUAGCAGUGAAAUGCGUAGAGAUCAUGAGGAAGACCAGUGGCGAAGGCGGGUCUCUGGACAGUUCCUGACACUGAGACACGAAGGCCAGGGGAGCAAACGGG
rnacentral:rRNA from 1 species